UAACCCGGUGCGUCCCCCACUACUUCAACUACACUGGUCCUCUUAUCAGAUUUGUCCCCAGCUCCCGCUGCCCUACCUCUCCUGGAGGAUCUCUCAGAUCCAUCCCCGCCGCCAUACCUCUCCCGGAGAGGAUCCCUAUCUCAAAUCUAUCCCCGCCGUCCUACAUCACCCGGAGAGGGUGUGACGUGUGCAAGCGUCGCCCAUUGGUGGAUGCAUGAUGGGCCGCUUUGCCUCUCCUGUGGCCAAGGUACGGCUCAAGGGGUAGCGCGUGAUGGUGAUGUGGUGCGAGGGGAUGGUCUUCUCAGGCGGCUUGCAGCGAGGGAGGGCAUGGCUAGGGGCACCUAGCGGACAUUGGUGACGGAGGAGGCGAGGGACACGCAGAGCAUAUGAAGGAAGCUGAGGAACUACAGAGAACACUGAUUAGAUACGACGAUGUUGUUCCCAACCUCGUGCGCGAGUUGGCCCAUGGGGCUGACGAAUCUUUUGGUAAUUUUGAUCCAUUCCCCCUCUCAUUCAAUAUCUUUGUGUCAGACCCCAAAGAACUCGAGCUCUGAACAUGGCGAAAACACGCACGCGAACUGGAACACAGAGAUGGUGGAAGAUUCUGGAAACUUCCCGAGAACCAAGAGAACUACUGGCCUACACUACCAACUACCAGACAACAGAAAUGAGCAUCACAUAUCCAUUCCCAUUUUCUCUAUAGGUUUUAGCAUCCAAUGUUCAUGCAUAGUUAGAGAAUUAGAGUUUACAAAGGUGUAUUUCGCCAGACAAAACGGAAACAAGACACAAUAACAAAAAUGACGCCAACAGUAAGAAUCAGGGUGGUAGAUAUUUCCCGCCUCAAUGCUGACCGUUUGAUCUUCAUAACUGGACCCUACUGCUUCACGCUUCGUUUCUUCAGUCUUGAGAAAAUCUUCAGAGUUUCAGUUUUCUUCAGUCUGAAUUUUUCAAGUCUGACAGGUCUCCCCUCUUGAGCUUCACCUUGUCCUCAAGGUGUAAAAUCAGGAAAAGUCUUCUGGAUGAAUUAAACAUCUUCCCAUGUGGCAUCUUCCUCAGAUAAAUUCAACCAUUUGAUCAACCAUUGGCCUACAGGUUCUCCCUUCCUCGGAAAAACUCUUCUUGCCAGGACAGCAACAAGAGCAAUUUUCAGUUUACCAUUUUCCCCCACCAAAGGCACACCCGACAGAGGUACUACUCUAUCAUCUACAUGUUUCUUCAACUGGCUAACGUGAAAAACUGGGUGAAUAACAGAAUCAGUGGGCAAUUGUAGCUUGUAAGCAGCUGGUCCCAUUUUCUCCAAGAUUUUAAAAGGGCCAUAAUAUUUAGAUCUGAGUUUCAGAGAACCUAUUAGUCCAAAUGCAUUUUGCUUGUAGGGUUGUAUCUUCAGAUAAACCAAAUCUCCCACUUCAAAAACCCUUUCACUUCUUUUCUUAUAUGCAUACUUUUUUAUCCUUUCUUGAGCUACACGUAAGUUCUGCCUCAAUUCCUUCAGCAUGUGUUCUUUCUGAGGUAUGGUUACCUGGGCCUCAUCUGAAAUAUUGCAUGGCAAAGAGAAUUCUCCCAAUUGGGGUGGAGGGUAUCCAUACAAGGCUUGGGAAGGAGUAACUUUCAAAGAUGUGUGGUAUGUGGUGUUGUACCACCACUCAGCAGUAGGCAACCACAAACCAGUCCUGGGGUUCCAUGAAUACCAUAGCUCUCAAAUACGAUUCUAACCAUUGAUUCACUCUUUCUGUCUACCCAUCAGUUUGCUUGUAAAAAUUCUAUCGCUACCACUUAUGAUGGAAAUAGGUAACUCAUGCAACUUAAAGAUCUGGUCCAGGAAUACUUGCACUACUUGUUGUACUAAAUAGGGAUUUGCCAUAGCAAUGAAAUAUGCAUAUUUGGUCAGUAUGUCCACUAUCACAAGAAUAACAUCUUUUCCUUUAGAUUUUGGCAAUCCUUCUAUAAAAUCCAUGGUAAUAUGGGCCCAAGCCAUCUCAGGAAUAUCUAAAGGUCCAACAGACCAGUACUGGCUACAUUCUCAGUUUUAGUCAAUUGACAAAUGAGGCAUUCAGAUAUAAACUUCUCAAUUUGAGCUUUCAUUCUAGGCCAAUAGAAUUUCUUUUUUGUGAUAAGUUGCUCUCAUACCUUUUUUUUUUCUCGAACACGCAGGAGAACUACGUAUCUUUGUAUUAAAGAGAGAAGGAACAAAUACAAGGACCCCGAAGAAGAGGGGUUAACUCAAACACCCACACCAACAGACCUCAGGUCACAAACACAAAACCCACAACAUACACCAUAAAACAUACGCUCCAAAGAGAGAUAGCGUGUUGACCAACACAAACCGACUAGCCGACCUAAUCUGGCCAGAGGGAUCUCAGGCCUUUUGCCCCAGCGAGGCAUCACAACCUGCACUCGUCGUAGAUAUCACGAAGGACAUCCGCAAUUCUUGGUGUUUCUUCGUUGAAGAGGCAUUCAUUGCGAUGUUUCCAAAUCCACCAAGCUCCCAAGAUGAUGAGGGAGUUAAUCCCUUUACGGCGAGGCUUGUCAACCUGUCGAUGAACUCGCCUCCACCAAUCCGAGAACACUAAAUCAUGUUAUUCAGGUGUAAGCUGAAGCAACCCAAACUGAGAAAACAGCAAAAACCACACUUGCCGGGAGAAGAUGCAAUUCGUAAGGAGGUGUUGGGCACUCUUGUCCUCUUGAUCACAUAACGGGCAAUGCUCCGGAUGUUGCAACCCACGACGAGCAAGUCGAUCCGCUGUCCAACAUCGGUUUCUUAUUGCCAACCAUAAGAAAAACUUGCAUUUGAGAGGAGCCCAAUAUCGCCAAAGCCGCUUCCAAGGUUCAAAAUCAAUAGCCCCAUAAAAAUAAUCAUUGUAGGCUGUCUUGGAAGAGAAUUGCUCAGAGUUUGAAUGUCUCCAUAGAUGUUGAUCUUGCUCAUUUGGUUGCAGCUCAAAAUCUUGCAGCGUGUCCCAAACAAUUAGAUACUCCAUAAGGACAUCAACGGACAGCCCACCUUGGAUGUCAAGAAUCCAGCGCUGAUCAGUUAAGGCCUCCGCCACAUAACGCCUUUUUCUUGUCCGGGACGACACCGCAGCCACAAGAGAUGGCGCCAAAUCAGAUAAAGAACAACCGUGAAGCCACCGGUCAGUCCAAAAGAGGGUGGAGUGACCAUUGCCCACCUGCGAAGAGAUAGAGAUGGCAAACAUGGCGACUAUGUUCAGGUGGACAUGUAAUUGCAGACAUGCCCAAGGUCUAUCAGGCUGAGUUUUUUGGAGCCAUAACCAACGCAUACGAAGAGCUCAUCCCAUUAAUUCUAAAUUAUGGAUACCAAGACCUCCAAGAUCUAAAGGCCGACAAACUUUGUUCCAAGCAACAAGGCAAUGGCCUCCAUAUAUCUGCUCCUGACCUUUCCAGAGAAAAGCCCGUCUCCUCUUGUCGAUGGCAUGAAUUGCCCAUUUAGGGAGGUCUAAAGCAAUUAGAUGGUGGAUUGGCAUGGCAGUGAGAACAACCCUCACCAAAAUCAGGCGUCCAGACUUGUUUAGAAGAGCAGAUUUCCAGCCGGGCAACUUGUCCGCAAUCUUCUCAAUCAAGGGCAUCAAGUCAGCUUUAGAAAGUUUCUUAAAAGAGAUUGGUAGCCCCAAAUAAGUGCAAGGGAAAUCAGCAACCUCACAGGACAGCACAUUGUUGAUAUCAUCCCGGACGUUAUCAGGACAUUGAAUAGGGACGGCCGAACAUUUCUGAAUAUUUGUUCGAAGACCUGAUGCAUCACCAAAUGAGGACAGAAUUCCCAUGAUCAACUGCAGCUCAGAAGAGAUAGGCCGAAUAAAAAGAACGACAUUGUUGGCAUAUAAAGAGACUCGAUGUCUGGGAGCAUCCGUGGCCAGCGGAAGAAGAAGGCCAUCCUCACAAGCUUUACUGAUCAGAGAAUUAAGAACAUCCAUAACAAGGAUGAACAACAUGGGGGGAGAGAGGGUCCCCUUGAUGAAGGCCACGCCGGUGCUUAAUCACAUCCCCCGGGUCACCAUUAAGCAAAAUUCGGGUGGUGGCGGAAGAUAACAAAUUGCACAGAAGAUUGCGCCAUAACGGACCAAAACCCAAGUGAGAGAGGACCUCCAAAAGAAACGGCCAAGAAACUGAAUCAAAGGCCUUAGAAAUACCAAGUUUCAAAAACAGCCAAGGCUCUUUUUGGCGAUGAAGAAGCUUCACUGUCUGUUGAACAAUGAUAUAGUUGUCACGUAUGCACCUACCCCGAAUGAAGGUGCUCUGAUUUGGAGAGACCAAUGAGGAAAGCCGCAGAGUGAGGCAGUUAGCCAUUAAUUUGGUGACAAGUUUAGCAAAACUAUGAAUCAAACUUAUGGGCCAAAAGUCCUUGGCCAAGAUAGCAUCUGCCUUCUUUAGAAUAAGAGUCAAAUAAGCAGAAUUCAGCAAGCCCAAUUUGCGACCAUCACCUUUUAGAAGGACCAGAAGAGCAGCAAUAAGAUCUCCUUUUAUAAUACCCCAGCAACAUCGAUAGAAAUGUCCAGUAAAUCCAUCGGGACUGGAGGUCUUCUCUGGUGGCAAUUGUUUUAUAGUCUCCCAGACCUCAUCUUCUGAGAAAGCCGCCUCUAAAGAAGAGAGAUCAAUGGGGCCACGAAAGAAGCUCUGAAGAUCAAGAGUGUUGGUUCUUGUCUCAGUCGAACCAAGAAGACCAGAGUAAAAAUCAAAUAGGACAUCAUGCUUGUCAGAGUGAGCUGUUACAAUCUGAUCGUCGGACUGAAGUUUAACAAUGCAGUUUUUUCUCUUGCGGUAACAAGCUUGCAAAUGAAAGAAAGCUGUGUUGGCAUCUCCAUCUUUCAGCCAACCAAUUCGGGAACGGAGGCGAGCAAUCGUUCUUUCAAGAGAAGCCAAGCCGAGACAAUGCCGCUUCAUAUCGCGCCGCAGCCAUUCUUCAGCCAGAGAAAGAGGGCGAUGAUCUUGGGCAAUCUCAAGACGGUGAAGAAUCUCCUUGGCAGUCUGCAAUUGGAGCUUGACAUCCCCAACUUGUUGAUGGCCCCAAGAUUGGAGAGCCCGAGUCAGCCGCUUAAGCUUGACAGAAAACAAUUCUACGGGGCAAGCGACAUUAACCGGAGCCUCCCAGGAGGCUGUCACUGCCCCCAAGAAUCCGAGAAGUUUGGGCCAAAAACCUUCGAAGUGAAACCGUCUCUUGCCCUUGCCCAAGGCGCCAUCAUUCAAAUCCAGAGUAAGUGGGCAAUGGUCAGACAUUUCAGUAGCUUGGCUUUGCAAGAGGAAGUUUGGGUAGAGCAGCUCCCAAUCAGCUGAGCACAGGACGCGAUCAAGCUUUACCAGAGUUGGCGCCACCCUCUCAUUAGACCAUGUAUAACGACGACCGAGAAGAGGUAAAUCUUUUAACUCAAGAUCAUCAACCAAAUGCCGGAACCUUCCCAUCAUAGCCUGUUAACAUUUGUGUUGCUCUUGUCCACGGAUUGAUAUAUUACAUUGAAGUCCCCUCCGAUCGCCCAAGGACCAGAACAGACCGAACGGAUAUCACGCAGUUCCUGGAGAAAAACGAUCUUGUCUACAUCAAGCUGAGGACCAUAUACGCCCGUGAACCACCAAGCCGGUGCAUCAGCCGAUUUGAACUUCACAGAAAUAGAGUGUCGAUCCACCCAUGAAGCCUCAUCACAAUAAACAAGCCCUUUCCAAGCCACCAGGAUGCCACCCCGAGUGCCAUCAGCAGGGAGGAAGAUGAACUUAUCGAACUCAGAGCCUGGAAGAGAUAGGACCGAGUGAUAAGAAAUAUAUGCUCUCAUACCUAAGUACCUCCAAUUGAAGAAGUGUGGAGGUUCUCUAUGAUCUUCUACCUCAGUUCAGCAUGUUCACCCACAUAUAUUCUCCCUUCGAAUUUAAGAACUACUCCAUCAGUGGUAUAAAACCUAGACUGAGAUUGACCUUGAUUGAUAAGCUCCAAUAGGUCUUUACACUUUUGGUCAUUGAGAUACUGUGCUUGACAUCCUCUAUCCAAUUAGGUGUCAAUACAGUAAUGUUUUGACAUUCUGAAGAUCUCCUUGACAAUGCAUCUGCUGCUAAAUUUUCCUUGCCCUUUUUGUAUUCAACUGAAUAAUCAAAUUCCAACAACUUGAGCAAUAGCUUGUGUUGGAUUCCAUCAAUGUGUAACUAUAUAUUUAAGGCUUUGCUGAUCUUUCCUUAUAAUGACUUUGCUUCCCAGUAGGUAAUGCCUCCACUUCUUUAGUGCCUCUAAGAUUGCCAUUGCUUCCUUGUCAUAAGUGGAUUUAGCAGCAAAUCUUUCUCCCAAUGUUUUGCUGAAAUAGGCUAUAGGGCUCCCUGCUUGCAUUAAUACUGCCCCCAAUUCUGAGCUACAUGCAUCUGUCUCCAGUAUGAAUGGCUCACUGAAAUUUGGUAGUGCAAGCAAUGGGCUUGUGGUUAUGACCACUUUCAGCUGAUUGAAUGCCACUGUUUGAGUAUGGCUCCACUCAAAGGAAUCCUUCUUCAAGGGAUCAAAGAGUGGCAUGCAGAUCUGCCCAUAACCCUUGAUGAAUCUCCUGUAGUAUCCUGUAAGCCUUAGAAAACCUCUUAGUUGAGUCACAUUCUGAGGAAUUGGCCAAUUAACCACAUCCUUAAUCUUACUUGGGUCUGUUGACACCCCCAAUCCACUGAUGAUGUGAACCAAAUACUACACUUGCUUGAUUGCAAACUCCCAUUUGCUCAGUUUAGCAUAAAGCUGCUGAUCUCUAAAUAUGCCCAGCACCAUCCUCACAUUACCUUAAUGUUCUUCUUCAUUCUUUCUAUAGAUAAGUAUAUCAUCAAAGAAUACCAAGAUGUACUUUCCCAGAUGUGGACCAAAAAUCUUGUUCAUUAAGGACUGCCAGGUGGCAGGGACAUUUGUCAGCCCAAAAGGCAUGACUGUGUAUUGAUAAUGCCCUAGGUGGAUUCUGAAAACUGAUUUAGGGAUGUGUUCAGGCCUCAUUCUAAUCUGAUGGUAUCCAGACCACAAGUCCAACUUAGUAAAAAUUGUAGUUCCAUUCAAGGCAUCUAACAAGUCCUCAGUAACUGGCAUAGGGAACUUGUUCUUGAUGGUUAAUGAGUUUAGCUUCCUAUAAUCCACACAUAAUCUUCAGGAGCCAUCCAUCUUCCUAACCAUGACAACAGGAGAUGCAUAUGGGCUCAAACUUGCUUGAUAACCUGACUAUCUAUUAGGCUUCUGAUUAAACCUUCCAUGGCCUCCCUCUUGUAAUGGGGUACUCUAUAAGGUCUAACGUUGGGAGGUUCUGAUCCUUCCUUCAAAUGAAUAGCAUGAUCACAUUCUUCUCAGGUGGUUGCCCCUUUGGUUCAGUGAAGACAUCCAUGAAUUCUGUCACCAGUGGCUUCAACAAGUUAGAAAGCUUCCAAAAGGUUGUUGGGCUGGUGACAGGUAACUUGGUGCUGAAUGUGAUUCUUCAGACCCCCAAUGAAGAAAGCUUCCAAAAGGUUGUUGGGCUGGUGACAGAUCCCAUAGAAAGAGGGCAUGAUGUAGGCCUUGUGAAACAGUAGUGCAAUGGGGCCCAUGAAGAAGAGGUACCAUGGUGCACAUGUCAGUGGUGGUGAUAUAUGGGGAUCCCCUUGUUGAUGUAGACUCAUGAGACUCUUGCAUGUAGAAGAACAUAGGGUAAACAAUGAUGGUGAUGAUGAUGAUGAUGCAGGAGAAGUGGAAGCCACCGUUGAAGUGCAUGAGGCAAACUCUAUUCUUGCGGUGGGCAUCAUUCUAGAAAACUUGCCUCAAUGGAACUCGACUGCACAAUUCGAUCUGAAGAUUUAGUUAUUGGCUACAAACUUUGAUAAAUGAUGAAUGCCCUUUUUUUCUUGACAAUGUGAAAUGUUUUUUUUAUGGAUUAUAUAUAUG